GUCGAAGUUGUUUUCCAUUCAGUCCUCAAAUUUAACAUUCACUGAGGGCUCCAUCCUAGGAACCACAGUAAGUGACAGCCUUUGUUUUAAUUGGGAUUAUUUUUUUGAUUCUCAAAAUGAGGGGUAUGGGACCAGAUGACCUGUUAGCUCCCUUCCAGGCUCUGAAAUGUUAAAGUUCUGUAAUUGUGUGAUUCUGUGAUAUUAUGAGUCACCCAGGUGAAUUAACGCUUUUCUGAGAGGUAGCCAGCCUCGUCUCCCCCAAGGGGAGGUGAAUGAGCUCUGUCUCAGACACAGAUGCUUCUGGGACACACCCUACCAGUGUGACUGCCACUUCUCUGGGCCCUGAAGGAACCAAUAAAAAGCCUUACUCUGGGUGAACAUUUGCUCACUGAGAACACUGCUCACUUGGGCUCUUCACAGGGUCACAGUAUGUUUAUAACAAUGAUGAUGAUUUCUGCUUUGUGCAAGGAAUUUUUCUUUUGGUUCGAGCUGCUUGAGAAGCUGGCUGUGGUUUCUAUCAGCCCCAGAUCUCACAUGGAAUAGUACCAUGGCCUCUAGCAGAAUGACACACAAUAGCUGCAGUAACCGCCUCACCCAUCUCUGGAGACUGGGCAGGGUUUUCAUAGCACUGGGCUGCAGCCACGGUCUAUUUUAUCAUAGCACCUUAGAUAGGGAUCAGUAAGAUAGAUGCACAUCAAGACUGAGAAAGUUUAAAGGUUUGAUUAUCCUACAGUCCUUGGGGAGAGCACAAGUCACCUUGCAGGGCCAAAAGGGGAAGCAGCAGGAUCAGUCAAGAGGCCGAGGGAGCUAGGGGGACCUAUAGCAUCCACAGCCAGAUUGCAUGGUCCCCUGGUCCUCUGUGUAUCUGGACCUGGCACACUAAUGAAGGGAGAUAGACACUGGAGAGUCGGAGGUCAGCUCCGGUGGUACAGCUACACAGAACCAAUGCACACACAGUCCCGUCUGGGAAGACAGCUUUGCAGAGCAAGGGCCCGCUGAGCAGGCUUCCCUCCUGCAAGGGAAGAGUCGGCUACUGAUGUGUUAAGAUUCGAUUAACGCAGGAAAUAAACAUGUAAUAAAUAAUAACAGUGUAAU
rnacentral:lncRNA from 1 species